CCCUUAGAUGUUCUGGGCCGCACGCGCGCUACACUGAUGCAUUCAACGAGUCUAAAACCUGGUCUGAUAGGGCUGGGUAAUCUUUUGAAUGUGCAUCGUGAUUGGGAUAGAUGAUUGCAAUUCUUCAUCUUCAACGAGGAAUGCCUAGUAAACGCAAGUCAUCAGCUUGCAUUGAUUACGUCCCUGCCCUUUGUAUACACCGCCCGUCGCCCCUACCGAUUGAAUGUUCCGAUGAAUACCAUGGACUGAGAGUAUGAAUGGGUUCGCCUAUUUCUGCUUCUCGGGAAGUGGAGUAAAUCUUAACAUUUAGAGGAAGGAGAAGUCGUAACA
rnacentral:rRNA from 1 species